UUUGGGGGAUGCCCGUCCGAGCCGCGGGUAUCGCUGCCCGCCCUCUUGCAAGAGCAUCUUCCUUUCCCGAACCUGAUCCCUUUGCCCAGGGGACAGAGGAUGAUAUGGCCUGCCGGGGGCACCGGCGGUUUUCUGGUGCCCAGUUGUCGCUAGAAUCAGCACCUCCGACAGGAGCUGCCCAAGGCACAGAGAGCCCAGGCCGGGAACUGGACAUAAGGAUCCCGCUGAGGGUGUAAGCUCCAUCCUCUUUGCUUCCCUAUAAGGCCACGAAUGCCACUUCUGAAAUGAAUUUGUGCCACAUCUUCUCCUUGCUUGUCGGAGAAGUUGGAGGAUAUUCCAUGAUAGAGGUUUCAUGCAUAUUAAUAUGUACGGCUGGCUGUUUCGUCCAGCCGGCCCCCUUAUUUGUUCAUUGUUGUUUUCAAAAGAGAUAAGAUCGGGGAAGAUGGUGCUGUUGUGCUCUUCCUCCCCCCAGUCCCGGCAGAAAAGGAAAGUACAUGGAAACUGAUAAGUGGACCUUUGCCAUGUAAUUAUAAUAUGAACAUUUCUCAAUCAUUUUUCAUCCUAAAUGCACUUGACAAACAUUGCCACCUGUUCCAGUAUUAAGUCAUUCAAAUACACAGCAAAACAGUGGCCAGACCAGUUAGAAUUACUGUGUCUGCAUCUCUUACUGCUUUGACUUACUUUAUCCAGAGCUUCAGUGGUGCCUUGGGUGGUGCUAGUCCUGACUUGGUCAUGCCUGUGAAUGAUGAUACCUUCUCCAAGUUGUACAUAUGUAUACCUGUUAAACUCUGCACUUCAUGCUCACAGAAGAAUGGCUUUUCUGCCUUUAUUGCUUACUUGAUUUCUAUUAAACAAUUAUAAAUUAGGUUUUAGGUAUCAUGUGUAUCUAUCAGAGGCUUCUCUCAUCCAUAAAGAAUGCACUAUAUGAAUUUGCUUGAACUUUGUGCUCUUAUUGGAGCUGUCCUGUUUGCACACAUGAAUUAUCUCCCAUUAGUUGAUUCCUGCAUUGUGGUGAGUGGAAGUUCUUUCUGUAUGUGACAAGUCUAGCUUCAUACCACUGGGGUGAUCCUUGUUCACAUCCCAUUUCUGCUUCCUUGGUGAAAGCACCAGUGCAAGCUUCAGAGAAGUUCAGAGGAAAAUUGUGAGUUCAUUAUUAGUCCCUUUGUGAUAGUUUCUAAAGUAAUGUUGAUCUGGCCACCCUGUGGGACUUGUACCAGGAUACAAAUGGGUAAAUGUCAAAUAGACUUACUCUGACAGUGGUGUUAUUUAGCAAAAUAUUUUGAACAAAAAGUUUGUUUAAAUGUGUCCUGUUGCAUUAAAGGCAGAUAUUUUCAGGUUUUGGCUUGUAGAUUAAUAAAGUAUUUUCACUGAAGGUACGACCCCUUCAAUAGUUAAACUUACACUGUCAUUCAUAAAAUAUUUGAACUGCUCUUUAGAAAUAGCCUGCAGAACUCCAAUGGCUUAGUGCACGUGAAAAAAUAAUGCCAUGUAAAACACAUCAUUAGUAUAUGGGAAUUAUUCCUGUUGCACUGGUAGACUUUUCCAAAGCAAAUGCAGCUCUGAAGGGUCCAGUUCUCUUCUCACUUUCACCACUGCCAGUCAGAAAGUACUCCAUGCAGUCUAUGGUCUUAAAACAACAAACAACUGGUAAUAAAAAUAAGAUGUCAGAUGUCUACUAUUUAUUUGCUUUAUUUAGCAUUCCUUACAAAGUGUGUCUAAUAAAAAUUAUUUUAUAUAGGGGAAGGAGAAGAUGUACCAUUUUUAUUUUGAAUCCUUGAGCUUUUAAUGAAAGUGCAACUCAGUAUGUUACCAAAAGGUGCUACAGGGACUACUAAAGAUGUAGCAGAAGAAUCUGUAUCAGAUGAUGACAAAAGGAGGAACUAUGGAGGUGUCUAUGUUGGCCUGCCGUCGGAAGCAGCUGCCAUGGUUUCCAGUCAGACGAAAGCUGCACCGAAAGGUAUUGCAAGAUUAGAAGGAAAUAAAGACAUCAAGAUGCAAACAGCUGGAGUCUGCUAAGACCAGAUGCCAGUGCUUUAGAGAGAGCUGUCUUUGUGCUGAAGAUUUUUAUAUUUACGUAGCCUUCUGGAGAGCAAGAGAGAUCAGAGCACCAAAAAAUCUAAACUGUUGCAAGUUCCAACUACGGGUAAAGCUUAAAGUACAGCGUUGCAUCAGUUUCCUAUGAUGGUUGCAUUAUGGAAACCUCCUCCUGUUCUCCAGUGAAAAAGGAAAUUGGUGAACUCAUGGUGGAUGUUUCUGCACAAGAGCUAACUUUGAUGAUCUGCAACUUAUUUCUCUGUGGCCAUAUUGCAGAUUUCAUCAGCUAUCAGCUACGCUUCAUAUAUUUUCUCCAACAAUUUUUGAUAGAUUUUAUAUAGAAAACCAUCACUACUGUCCACUCAAUAGUUCCUAUGAAAUCUGCUACUUGGGUUAUCAACGAUUUCAGGCUUCCAGCUCCUGAAGACAAAUAUGCAUCUCAUUCUUGACCCCUUCAACCUCAAAUCAAGAUGAAAUAAGCUUGAAGAUUAAGAUGUGGUGUUAAAAUAUCUCAGUGUGAAUGAAUGUCUGUUGAUUUUUAUCUGCUGAGUCUUGUUCUUGCAAGCCAAGCUGAUGAGAACUCAAGUAGCACUGAGUAAUAAACAUGCAGGCUUGCUUCUCACCUGCUUACCAUAGUAUAAGGGUAUAGUUUCCAUUUCACGUGUUCCACAAAUGGUCUAAAUGGUUUGCACAGCACAAGUUUAUUUAGUACAAAGCAAUUAGGCCCACGCCUGACCUGAUCACGAUUGCCUUUCCCAAAGCAGAAAAAACACCAGUCGUCCCAGGAUACGUCAUCGUUCAGCUAGUGCUCGAAAAGCCAACAACAGAUGCCGGUAAUCAACCCAGUUGUUUGUCCACUUCUAUCCUUCAGUUGCUGGGAAGAAUCAUCAGAAAGGUGGACAGGGCUGAACUCGAACAUCACUUGUUCUGCUCCUGACAUCCGAACCCCCAUGCGUGGGCAGAGGAAAGAAAGAGGUGAUUGCUAAUGAAUAGCUCCCACCAGUUGGUGGUGGGACAGUUGCAAAGGGUAUUUUACUUGGUUUACGUCAUUGCUUGUUUUUCCUGUGCAGAGCUAAAGAGAAGCUUGGAGCACUUUGCAGAAUUGGUCUUUUAAUGUUUCAUCCUCUGAAUGUGUGGGAGGUACGGUGGUUUCUUAAUGUUUUUGUUCCUCUGCAUCAUUUACUCUCAAAAGCUUACUGAUAAACUGACAAGUGUUCAGCAUCAUGGACUGGAGUCUCUAAAAUAGAUACACAUUUAUUUAUGCUACGCAGGCCUGUACCCAUCAAACUAAAUAGCCAGGGCCAUGCCCUUGUCUCUGAUUUGCAGACUCUUGUUUUCCCAAGGACAAGAUCUAGAAACUGCUUGACAGGACACUGUAUUCUGUCUUGGCUGAAUCCCACUUAGGAAACUGAUUUUCUGCUCAUCAAAAUUCCUCUCUGGUGAGCAGCCUUUGUUAAUAAAAGCACAUGAUCUUUCAUGGAGAAAUGGGUGUAUCUGCUUUUUAAAACUUACAACCUGUAGAUAUUUCUGUUAUGAGGAGAAACCCUAUAUGCCAGCUUCCAGCUGUGCAUUUGAUGGCAUCUUUGGAGAAUAUUUAGGCGCUCAAACGAUGGUUCAGUGUGAGAAUUAAAAACAGAACACAAGGAGCCAUUGAAUGACAGAGUUAUUAUUAAGGAAUAUAGUAUUUAUGAAGAAGAGACAUUUAAAUGUUGGGGCUGUAACACCAUUUCCUUUGCUGUUGUCACUCUGUCUCCAGCCAGAGCUGGGGAGCCAGUGAAAAUAGUUCAGCAAAGAGUGGAUUAGGGCUUUAUGAUCUCAGAAUAUCUGAUCUGAGACUCUUUGACAGCCCAGAAAUAUGCUUGAAUUCACAUAACUCUGAGAAGUGACUCUUGAAAAAUUCUGGAGUAUGAAAGCAUAGGAUUGAAACUACAGUUUGUGAUUAGCUGAAAAACAAUCAAAAUAUCUUGGAUUGCAAAUUUGGUCUAGUACAAACUAUUUCACCUCGAAGACAGCUGCUCUUUUGAAUGAUGCUGAUAAGACAGUGCAUUUAUUUUGCUUUCUUCUUAAUGCAGGACCUGGAGCUUUGUUGUAAGGGCCCAUCUUCUCAGUGUCUGGUUAGUCCAGACAGAGGCACUGCCCAUCUUGUGUGUGCCAUCCACAUGCUAGUGUAGUUCAGAGGAUGUGACAUAGAUCUAAACCUCUGUGUUGCUCAAGGGUUAAAUCUGUCGCUAAGAGGGUUGCAGAAGACCUGGUAAAUGCUGUUGUAAGCUCAGUUAGGACUUCAUUCACUAGAAAUGAAAUCCUUUCAUUGCAAAGAGUCCAAACAAGGCUGAUGCUGCAGAAAUUCAUAAAGGUGAAAUUUGUCUCUAAUGAACACAAGGUACUAAUUUACUUGAUUUCAUGCUGCCUGUCUAGCAGAGGAGUCUGUGCUAUAUUGGACUAUGGCUGAAAUGGCAUCACUAUUCCCUGUCACCCACGCAAGUCUAGCAAUUCUCAAUAAUCGUGCUUCCCAAGCAGUCGGUGAGUCACUCCUGAUCUGUUUCCUGCAAAGUAGACCUCUGUUUCGUUCCCAUGGUGAUCAGAAGUGACAAUUAUUACGGGCUGCUACUACAGUUUCUCAGUUGUGUGUGCCCACUAAAAGAAGCUCUUACCUGGUUACAGUCCCUUGGUGUUUUGCAGUACAUCGUUAUUGCUUCCUGUUGACAGCAAUUUAAACACUUCAGGUGAAUUGGCUUUGUGGAGAACAUGCCGAAGGAGGGGGAUUUGUGGAGUAUUUUUGUUUUGCAAUGUAUUUAGAACAAGACCAAGAAAGUAAUGGCUCUGUAAACUUUCCAUAGAACAAUGGUGUGCCAGUAUUGCAGGAAACCUUUUGAGGCUGGGCAGAAUGAUCCAACCCUUGUUUUAAGAACAAACAUGCACAGAACUUAGAUUUAUCAUAAUAGGAGCCAUUUAAUUUUACACAAUCUGACAAUUUUUGCUGUAACUCUAGGUUUUGCAAACAAGAGUGUUUCCCAGGCAACAGAAACCUGUCACCCAUCUGUGGGACUUUCUGUAUGCUGGUCACUAUCUGCUCACUAUUAAAAUACCUACAGCUGAAGGUAGGACUCUGCUUGUGAAAUGGAUUGUUCUGUGAAAUGCGAUGAAACUCUCAUUAGAAUAACUGUACUGAGAAAAGAAUUAGAAAGAUACCAUUGAAUGAAACCUGGAUAAAAGGGGACUUCCUAUGCCAGAAAGGAGGAAGCACAUAGAGAAGGAGAAUUAUGAUAUUAUGCAGUGAAGACAGAUGUAGAAAGAGGUUAGGAACAGAAAAUGACGUAAAAAAGGAAAUACUUUAAUUAAGUAUCUGCUCCAUUUCUCUGUGAUUCUAAUCUCUGGAAAACAGAGAAAGAAGUAGACCGCUGCCAAAUUGUUUUAAGACUGAAGAGAAAGGGGGAUUGGCUUAUCAGUUCAUUCCAACCCUCAGAAGCCUGAGACUGCAAACCUUUGGGGAAAUAACUUGUCUCAUUUUUAUUUGCUUCAUGCCUAGUGUAAUGAGCCCAUGAACCUUAUAGGUCCUUUUGGGUGUUACCAGUAUAUAUAAAUAUCCUGCCGUCUCUUUCAAAAUUUCUGUUGAUGUUCCCUUAGUUUGCCUCUCUAUUGCAGACUGAGAAAAUACACAAUAUGUAAAAAUAAUUACCAGGGUUAAUACAAGAAAAGAUUACAGAACAUGUGAAAAGGAAGCAAGAGCUUAAUCUGAAAAACAGGAUCGAGUUAGAACCUAAGCUUUGGUUUAGUUAUGCCGUGUAUUUUAGAUUUUUUGUAUAAUUAAUGAAUCACUGUGCAAGUGGUUAGUUUUGUCACAGCACCCUUUUUGGUACUCUGGGAAUUAUCAGUCCGCUCACAGAAAUUUUUUUUCUAGUCUUUGAUUCCUAUGUUAUAGGAGAUGGCAGUAAUGUGAAAUACUAAAUUCCGCACUUUGCCUUUGUUGCCCACUUUUUACGUUGGCCAAAUCUCCGUGUUGUCUGUAGGACGGAUUCAGCUCCAUAAAAGCUGAGCUCAUUGGAUUCUUACCGUGAGGCUGUAAUUCAGAACAACAUGUUAAUUAGAGGCGGGUCAUAUUUGCUAACUGUUUUGUGGGGGACUGUUGGAAAAUGUAAGACUUUGUUGCAGUUAGGGAGGUAGUCAGACUUUGGAGAGAGUCCACACUGUAUCACUACCAAACUUUACUUGACAGUAUGCAAACAUAACACUACACACAUAAAUAAACAAAAUCAGGGAGGUAACACACACCUUUAGGCUUACAUCUAAUAUCAUAUUUAUGGUUAUAUAGCACUGGACACUGACUGUAACUUUGAGCUGUGAAUAUUUACCUACAGCUAGGUUUGCAUUCCCCAAAUGAUAUUGCUGUAAGGAAGCCUUGGAAGGGCUUCCUAGUACCUGGUUUGUUUGUAGGACCCUCACAUGCUUUUGGGAAAUCAACAAAUAGAUUUUCUCUAAAAUUAAAAUAUUUAAUCAGAUCUUAAUGGAUAAAUAGUAUCAACUUGAUCAAACUCCAAAUAUCUCCUUAUUAUAACAAUGUACUUCGUCUUUGAAGUCUCACAUGAAACCAGUUGCCUCCUUCUUUUUCCUGUUACAAGUUGUGGAUUACUUUAAUAAAUAAAUUCUUUUAGUUUUACAAAGUAACUGCUUCGAAUCAUCAGAUAAAACCAAAACAGUUUUGGCAGGGAACUAAUUUGUAAUAAGGAGACUGUGCCAGCCUGGGGAAACAGAGGUUCUAUAAAUUUCAAAUUAUUUGUAAUAGCAUGAAUAAUGGUUGGAGAACUUUCACAGCACUCUUAAAGAGUCUUUGUUUAAGACAUCAUAACUUGUAUAAGGAUUGCUUCUUGAGAAACCCAAGAUUUCCAGUGAAAAGAGCCCUGAAAAUCACUACUUGGGAAAUAAGUUUUGAUUUAUGAUAAUAUUUUUUCAAGAGAAGUGUUAUAUUUUUCUCUUUGAGUUUCGAGAGGAAGCCAAAUUCUCUUUUGAGCCAGUAAGGUAAACAAUCUAUCUCUCCUUCCCUGCAAACAAUUGCAGACAAUUCUCAUUCAGAGGUACAAGAAAAAAGACAAAUGGUAUUGGCUAGCUCUAUCAUGGGGACAUAUAUGUUUAUACACUUGAAAUUAAUUCAAAUCUUUAACAAAUUAAAAUAGAUUAGACUAGAUUUCAUGCUUUAUCCUUUGAAGUAUUUUCAUUAAAUCAUGGUAUUAUUUUUUCCCAUUGGUUGAAGGAAUCCCUGGCAAAACUAUUUCUUCUGUAUUUUUUGUAAGAAUGUGUAAUUCAUUAUAGUUUUCAACACUUCUUGCACUAUUUCCCAUUUUUAUCUUGAGUUCACCUUCUGGCAUAAAACUCUGCCACAGCCUGGGUUUUACCUUUGCUCAGGUGAGCACUCCAAGUGGAUGCCACUGGAGAACAUUUUACCCUGAACGCUGUUUUUUUCAGCUUCAGUUGAAACAUGGGCAGUGCUGCCUGAUCAUUCUCUAGGAGGAGUGUUUACUGCACGUGUGACUGUAUCAUCUGGAGACUUGGACUGAGAUGGUUUUAGGAAUCUUCAUUACCCAUGAGGGUAUUGAAAGCUCAUCUUGCCUCCUGCAUGACACCUCCUUGUCAUGGUUUAACCCCAACCAGCAGCUGAACCCCACACAGCUGCUCACUCAGUCCUCCCCAGUGGAAUGGAGAGUUGGAAGAGAAAAAGAGAAAAAAUUCGUGUGUUAAGGUAAAGAAAAAUCCACACACAUAAGCAAAGGAAAAUAAGGAAUUCAUUCACCACUUCCCAUGGACAGGCAGGUGUUCAGCCAUCUCCAGGAAAGCAGGGCUCUGUCACCAGUAACAGCCACUUGGGAAGACAAAUGCAAUCACUCUGAAAGUGUCUCUCUUUUGUUCAUCUUCCCCCAGCUUUAUAUUCUGAGCUUUAUAUGCUGAUAUGGAACACCCCUUGACUUGGUGGGGGUCAGCUGUCCUGGCUGUGUCCCCUCCCAACUUCCUGUGAAUCCUCAGUCCACUUGCUGGCAGGGUGGGGUGAGAGGCAGAAAAGGCCUUAACUCUGUGUAAGCACCGCUCAGCAGUAAUGAAAACAUCCCUGCAUUACUGGCACUGUGUCCAGCACAAAUCCAAAACACAGCCCUAUUCCAACUACUCUGAAGAAAAUAAGCUCUUAUCCCAGCCAAACCCAGCACACUCCUUCAAAUACACCUGUGGACAAGCAGCACUGUGUUACAAAGCUGGAAGGCACAAGAUGGUGGGAAAGUGCCUCCAUCACAGUUCAGUUUGUGCAGUGAUGUGCAAAACAAGAGUAAACAUUAUUGAUACAUUAGUUGGAUAGUUGACUUUGCCACAUUUCAGAGUCUCUUUAGAGUGACUUUCAGUGAUGACAAAAGGAGCAAGAACAUAAGGAAUCGAGUCCUGUCAUACAAUAUCAUAAAUGCCUGUAUUAGACAUUACAAAUGAUUAGCAGCAUCCUGUGUACUGUCAUUGCAUUUGACACAAAGUAAUUGCAGUCUUGUAAUAAUUUCACCUGCACACCUCUGUAGAUAGUAAGGGAAAUUACUCUCAGUAGACAGUGGCUGAUCAUUUGACCCGUAGAUUUUCUUGCCUAGAUCAUGGAGUCCGGCUGAUAUUCAGAGAGUGUAUCUCUUCGUGAUCUGGACACCCCCACUUUGCAACCUGCUGGUUUUGCAGUGCACCUCUGUGGUGUCUGCCAGUGUAAAUAGACAAUGUGGUUUGAAGAAACAGCUGGUUGAUUGGUGGGGCAGAAGGACACCUCCAUAACAUACUCCCUCUGUUCAUCCCACUGUCCUUUUGUUGCUCUCGGGGAGGUAUGGCAGCUUCACACCCCCCAAGGGAGCAGCCAUGUGCUAGUGACCCUCCCCAGGCCAGCUGUACCACGCCAUACCCACCCCAGACAACGGGCCAGUACGAACAGCACUGCUGAGCUGGAGAGGCUGGUUUGGGCUUUGGCUGGCUGAAGUCUGAAGUAGUGCUGGGAGUUGUUUUUCUGCAUCCCUUGCUCUCUUAGCAGCAGACCCCAAGUAACUGCACUGGGUUUCCUUUUAUGUGCCUCCUGAACAAGCCUUAUGUUCAGAGCUGUGCUGGUGACAAUCAAAUUAAUCAUCAUCCCGUCAGCAGCUGCACUUUGUUGGGCUCUCCCAGCAGUCUUAGAAUCUCAUACCAGGCUGUAGGCUGAAUAAAUCCUUGUCCAAAGUUGGUCAGCAAACCGUGCCUGGCCUCAAGAAACAACUUUGAUUAGGGACAGCAAAUUUUUUGCUAUUAUUCAUGAUUGUUUUCUUCAAAUGUGUUUUUGUGGGAAAGAGUCCUACAGACCUGAAUGGCAAUGCUGGCUCCUUGAAGCCUGAAACUUUGGCAUACUUUACAGAAAAGAUGUUCUGAUGAGAGAGAAUCCCAAAGCAGGGGAUUUAGGAUUUAAAAAACAAAACCCCUCCAAAAUGUGUAAGGAAUCCUAUGUAAUAAACCUUGAUAUGCCUCUGCUGCUCUCAUUUCUGUAACAAUCAAUCACUGCAAAGCUCAUGGUUAUUUAUUUUUCACUUUAGGGUUUCAUUUUAAUAGAUAGACUCAAAUGCUGGUAUUAAAAUGAGGGGUUAUUUCAUUUUACAAAAUACUUAGCAAUGACAGUGCUAACAGUACCUCUUGUCACUUUGGCAUUGCCUGUGACAAAAUUAUAGUUUAUGGACAUAACUUAAAAAUCAAAUUAUUUUAAAUAACUUUGCUUCUAAAGGAGCUUUUAGGUCAAGUCUGAAAGCUCAUAUAGAGUAUAUAAAAACAUUGUCUCUGGGCUACUUCAGAUUGUCCUCUAAGCCAUAAAAAUAUGUCUCUGAGUUUUUUUUCUAUAAUGAAAGUCAUGCUGUUGUCCAUUUGAUUCAUUAGAGCUCUGGUCUAGCCUCUUUACAGAUGCUGCUAUUAUUCUGCAAUGAAAAAAGGCAAACAGCCAUUUCUGGGUGCUCUGUAAAGUCUGAAAAGCAAGAUAGCUUAAAAUAAAUGUUUGUACCCUGCUAUGUUCUUAUGAUCUCCAAUGCACUUUGGGCACUACUAAACUAUAAAUAAGAUCAAAAUAUUCAUUCUCUCAUGCUCAAAAAAAUGUGAAGAAUGACAAAAUGAAGCUUCUUGAUAUAUUUGUAUUAUGACAUAUUUUGACAAUGUGAUCAAUAUUGGGGUUUUUUUCCAUGGGAUACAUGCUACAAUAGACUAACCUAAUUAGAUAUCUAUGAAAAAGUAUAUUUUCUCUUGAAAUUUUGCAAAUACUUUUUUAUUCAUUUUAUCAUUGCUUUGUCAUUGCUUUGGGCCAAUUUGUUUCCCAGGAAUGUGCUUUCCUUGCCUGUACAAGUUUGACAAUAAAAAUGCGUUUUUUUCUGUCCUUCUCUGA